rnacentral:pre_miRNA from 1 species
AGUCUUCUGUAUCCGUGCUGAGAUUUCGUCACAGACCAGACAACAAGGGCUGAUGAGACUUCCAAGAUAAGUGAAGCG